UGGCUCAGGACGAACGCUGGCGGCGUGCCUAAUACAUGCAAGUCGAGCGGACAGAAGGGAGCUUGCUCCGGAUGUUAGCGGCGGACGGGUGAGUAACACGUGGGUAACCUGCCUGUAAGACUGGGAUAACUCCGGGAAACCGGAGCUAAUACCGGAUAGUUCCUUGAACCGCAUGGUUCAAGGAUGAAAGACGGUUCGGCUGUCACUUACAGAUGGACCCGCGGCGCAUUAGCUAGUUGGUGGGGUAAUGGCUCACCAAGGCGACGAUGCGUAGCCGACCUGAGAGGGUGAUCGGCCACACUGGGACUGAGACACGGCCCAGAUCCUACGGGAGGCAGCAGUAGGGAAUCUUCCGCAAUGGACGAAAGUCUGACGGAGCAACGCCGCGUGAGUGAUGAAGGUUUUCGGAUCGUAAAGCUCUGUUGUUAGGGAAGAACAAGUGCGAGAGUACUGCUCGCACCUUGACGGUACCUAACCAGAAAGCCACGGCUAACUACGUGCCAGCAGCCGCGGUAAUACGUAGGUGGCAAGCGUUGUCCGGAAUUAUUGGGCGUAAAGGGCUCGCAGGCGGUUUCUUAGUCUGAUGUGAAAGCCCCCGGCUCAACCGGGGAGGGUCAUUGGAAACUGGGAAACUUGAGUGCAGAAGAGGAGAGUGGAAUUCCACGUGUAGCGGUGAAAUGCGUAGAGAUGUGGAGGAACACCAGUGGCGAAGGCGACUCUCUGGUCUGUAACUGACGCUGAGGAGCGAAAGCGUGGGGAGCGAACAGAUUAGAUACCCUGGUAGUCCACGCCGUAAACGAUGAGUGCUAAGUGUUAGGGGGUUUCCGCCCCUUAGUGCUGCAGCUAACGCAUUAAGCACUCCGCCUGGGGAGUACGGUCGCAAGACUGAAACUCAAGGAAUUGACGGGGGCCCGCACAAGCGGUGGAGCAUGUGGUUUAAUUCGAAGCAACGCGAAGAACCUUACCAGGUCUUGACAUCCUCUGACAACCCUAGAGAUAGGGCUUUCCCUUCGGGGACAGAUGACAGGUGGUGCAUGGUUGUCGUCAGCUCGUGUCGUGAGAUGUUGGGUUAAGUCCCGCAACGAGCGCAACCCUUGAUCUUAGUUGCCAGCAUUCAGUUGGGCACUCUAAGGUGACUGCCGGUGACA
rnacentral:rRNA from 1 species